GACGUAGGGGGCCAGCGUUGCUCGGAAUUACUGGGCGUAAAGGGUUCGUAGGCGGUGUGGCAAGUCGGGAGUGAAAUCUCUGGGCUUAACUCAGAGGCUGCUUCCGAAACUGCCGUGCUAGAGUGCGGGAGAGGCGAGUGGAAUUGCAGGUGUAGCGGUGAAAUGCGUAGAUAUCUGCAGGAACACCCGUGGCGAAGGCGGCUCGCUGGACCGCAACUGACGCUGAGGACGAAGACUAGGGGAGCAAACAGG
rnacentral:rRNA from 1 species